GGAGUCCAGGCUGCUUCCCUGGGGAGGCAGGAUGCACUGAGCAUGAUCCUUGGAUUUCCAACCUGCUGUUGCAACUUCCUAUCAGAGCUCCUCUUGCCAGGAACAAAGCGACAGCCGUCUGCUGGUGAGCUGGGCUAAUCCUGUUAAACAAUUCACAGAUCUGACGCCGGACACGCUUUUUGAAACCUGAGGAACAGGAAAGGAGAUACAGUCAUGGAGGGAAGAUGGCCAUGUGAAGAAGGCAGAGAUUGGAGUGUUGUUGCCACAAGCUGAGGAAUGUCUGGAGCUGCAGGAGCCCGGAGGAAGCCGGGAAGCAUCCUUCCCUAGUGCCUGCAGAGGGAGCCUGGCCAGCCGACACAUUGAUUUCUGACUUCUGGCCUCCAGAGCUGCGAGCUACUCAGUUUCUGUUGUUUUCAGCCACCCAGUUGUGGUGACUUGCUGCGGUAGCCCCCAGAGACCAGGACGCCAGCCCAGGGAUGAGGGUGCUGGUCCUGGGGGUGUCAAUGCACUGGCACAUCCCGCUUGACCCUGGAGUGGCCAGAGAAAGCCCUGGGCAGAGGUGUGGGCAGAGGUGGCAGGUGUGGGCAGAGGUGGCAGGUGCUGGCAGAGGUGGCAGGUGUUGCGGGAAGUCAGGGACCCCGAACGGAGGGAUGGGCUGAAGCCGUGGCAGAAGAACAUAAAUUGUGAAGAUUUCAUGGACAUUUAUUAGUUCCCCAAAUUAAUACUUUUAUAAUUUCUUACGCCUGUCUUUACUGCAAUCUCUGAAUAUAAAUUGUGAAGAUUUCAUGGACACUUAUCACUUCCCCAGUCAAUACUCUUGUGAUUUCCUAUGCCUGUCUUUGCUUUAACCUCUUAAUUCCGUCAUUUUCAUAAGCUGAGGACGUAUGUCACCUUAGGACCCUGUGAUGAUUGCAUUAACUGCACAAAUUGUUUAAACAAUUUGAAAUCUGGGCAUCUUGAAAAAAGAACAGGGUAAGAGCGAUGUUCAGGGAACAAGGGAGGUAACCUUAAAGUCUGGCUGCCUGUGGGCUGGGUGGGACAGAGCCAUAUUUCUCUUAUUACUGAAAACGGGUAAGAGAAAUAUCGCUGAAUUCUUUCCCCAGUGAGGAAUAUUAAUAAUUAACAGCCCUGGGAAAAGAAUGCAUUCCCAGGGUGGGGCCUCUGAAAUGGCCGCUCUGGGGGUGUCUGCCUUAUGCAGAUGUAGAUAGGGAUGAAACAUGCCCUAGUCUCCGGCAGCGCCCCCAGGCUUGCUAGGAUUAGGAAAUUCCAGCCUGGCAAAUUCUAGUCAGACCUGUUUUCUGCUCUUGAACCCUGACAAUGCGUGCACAGCGGGACAUGGAAGUUCAUUAGUGGAUUCUAGUUUCGCCCUGACCUUCUGCCUUGUGAUCUUUUGUCGCCCUUGAAGCAUGUGAUCCCUGUGACCCACACCGUAUCCGUGCACUCCCUCCCCUUUUGAAAAUCACUAAUAAAAACUUGCUGGUUUUGCGGCUUGUGGGGCAUCACGGAACCUGCCGACAUGUGAUGUCUCCCCCGGAUGCCCAGCUUUAAAAUUUCUCUCUUUUGUACUCUGUC
rnacentral:lncRNA from 10 species